rnacentral:rRNA from 1 species
AUUGAACGCUGGCGGCAGGCCUAACACAUGCAAGUCGAACGGUAGCACAGAGAGCUUGCUCUUGGGUGACGAGUGGCGGACGGGUGAGUAAUGUCUGGGAAACUGCCCGAUGGAGGGGGAUAACUACUGGAAACGGUAGCUAAUACCGCAUAACGUCUUCGGACCAAAGUGGGGGACCUUCGGGCCUCACACCAUCGGAUGUGCCCAGAUGGGAUUAGCUAGUAGGUGGGGUAAUGGCUCACCUAGGCGACGAUCCCUAGCUGGUCUGAGAGGAUGACCAGCCAAACUGGAACUGAGACACGGUCCAGACUCCUACGGGAGGCAGCAGUGGGGAAUAUUGCACAGUGGGCGCAAGCCUGAUGCAGCCAUGCCGCGUGUAUGAAGAAGGCCUUCGGGUUGUAAAGUACUUUCAGCGGGGAGGAAGGCGAUGGAGUUAAUAGCUUCAUCGAUUGACGUUACCCGCAGAAGAAGCACCGGCUAACUCCGUGCCAGCAGCCGCAGUAA